GUUUCUGAUUGUCUGAUGUCCGUUCUGCCUGUCGACUUCUGAGCCUGCCUGUUCUGAUCUGUUUGCCUGACCUAUCCUUGGACUCCUGCUGGAUUCUGCCUAUGUACUGAACCUGGAUUCUCUUUUGGUACCAUCUCGGAUCUCUUGGCUCUGACCCCCGAGCACAUCUUUAACACCGGCUUUGAUUUUGCCCUCUGGACUAUCUUGCCUUCCUUUGUCUGCUCACUUCUGAUCUCCCAUCUGUUUUGUUCAGCGUCUGGGACUCUCUGGCCAACAUCUGCCUCGUCUUGUCGGCAGCCGACCGGCUAGAACAAACAUCCUCCUCUGGGCUUGGAUUGAACUUUAAGACCAGCUUUAAGCUCAAAAGAUUUAUCCUGAGGACUAUGCUUCCAAAAAAAGGUCCAAGAUGACUGAAAGUAUUCGUAAAACAACUCGAGUGAGGUUUAGAUUGGAUCCAGAAAUUGACAUGAAACCAUCAAACACUACCUCAAAACAGAAUCGUGUUUCUAUCCUAAAAAAGACUGGACUCACUAAUAUGACGGCUGCAAACUCUGCAGCAAAUCCAGGGAGUCUGAAAAGAAAAACUGCAUCCAAAGAACAAUCACGAC